CCCGGCCUCAGGGGACGCAAAAUUAAGUCGGGCCACCGCCCGCCGGGGACGCUGGGUGUCUGGGGUGGCAGUCCGCUUGCUCCAGCCCCUUGGGCUCCAAAGUGGGUAGGGACGUAGAGAAAGAAUAAAACGUCCAAGUUGGCAGAGUGCGCCCCCCCAUCUGUUUAUUUCAGAGUCCCAUUUCUCGGAUGGGCAAGUUGGGCUUCCGAGCCCCAAGAAAAAACUUGCAAGUGGCGAGGCUAGCAGGCCCUUCCUGCGGCCCAGUGCCCUUCGGGGACAGCGUCCUGUGACGCGCCCGCCGCGGCCGCCAGCCCGCCCGAGAAGCCGCCAGCGAACCGGAGCGCAGGACGGGACACCCCGGCCAGGGUGGCGGCCCCGCACCUGUCCCGGGGAGCACACUCAGGGGCCACGUGUGGCCGCCUGCGUCACGUGCCAACCCCCACCUCCCCCGGCCAGAACCCGCGUGGCCGCGCGGGGUGGGCCGCCCGACCUCCUGUUAACCUGCGCCGCGAGGCGUCCCCGUCACCCCUGCCUGCGGCUCCAGCCCCUGGAGGAAGCGGCCACGCAAACGAGCCGUGACCGCACAGAGGCAAAACCGACCCUCCAGAUGUUGGUGGCAAGGACAGGAGCCACCAGGGCGUGCAGAAGCCGGCCAGGGCACCACCCCUCAGGAGCUGCCACAGCGCGCUCCUGCAAAGUCUCUUGUCACCAAAAAGUAACUUUUCGGAGGGGAGAAUCUUGGCAGUCUUGUUCCUGGUUGAAUCUUUAAAAGAUUGGCUCCACACCCAACGUGGGUCUGGAACUCACGACUCCGAUCAAAAGUCACAUGCUCCAUGAA